CGACCUAUCGCCCACGCCCGCACGACCUCUCGACCAUGCUCCUCCUCCCAACGGAUGCCACAACACGGGUGGGCUGUCGCAUGCCGAUUCCUCCCGCCGCCUUCCGCGCCGUUUGCCGCCCCCGGUCCGGCGGUCCUCUUCUGCUUCCCGGCGGCCAAAUGCGAGCGCCCCUGCUGGUCCUCCUCUGCUGCCCCAAGAACACGGGAGGUCCUCCUCUGCUGCUGCAGACGGACAGGAUCACAAGGCAGACGGCGGGCCUCCCUCGGAGUGACAAAAAUCCAAGCCUGGCGCCGGCCGCAUAUAAAAAUGCCUGACGCCGGUGCCUCCCUCUUCUGCCACCACCGGGAUCUCCCUCCCCACCAAACCCACGCACGUCCCCUGAAUCCAUCCAAUGGCGGCCGCCUCGCUCAAGCUCUGCUCCCCCAAACCCCUCGCCCCUCCUCUGCCGCCCCAGCACUGCGCGGCCCAUCGGCCCCGCCCGGUGCCUCCCUCCGGCCCACAGGCCGCAAUGCCUCCCGCAUCCCCUCUAUCUGUUCCGUCCGGUGAUUGACUGACCGGGUUUCCUUUCAAUCUCCUGUCUUGUGGCCGCGACGAUGCCAGGUGCUGGAGCAGCUGAUCGACGGGGCCGACUUCUCGGAGGACAAGGUGGAGGCGACGCUGCAGCUGCCGCUCAACAAGAAGAACGGGGCGCAGCAGAUCGCCGCCUUCCUCGUGCUGCUCCGGGCCAAGGGCGAGACCUACGAAGAGAUCGUCGGGCUGGCUAAGGCCAUGAUGAGAAACUGCGUCCGUGUCGAGGGCCUGCACGACGCCGUCGACAUUGUCGGUACCGGCAGUGAUGGCAUAGGCACCGUCAACAUCUCCACCGGCUCCACCAUCCUCGCCGCCGGUUUAGAAAAUUUCCACUCAUCAGCAUUUGCAGCAUCUGAGGUAUUUUUGUCACAUUUUCAUAUUUACUUCAACACUUGAGAGUUUACAUGUAUCAAGUUUCUUCAAUUGUUCACGGACUACAGGAUGUAGUUUCUUUUUACCUAAUUUUACAAUAUGUAAUCUGUUUCCAUUGUUGUGUAUUACAUUAUGUAUCUUUGUUAUGCGUUUGUAUAUUUUCUGCCUAUUGUGGAUCCAAAUUUUACAAGGAAUCCUGUGUGAUGCUGAAUUUAUUCAAGUGCUGCAAAAUGUGAGAUUGUUGCAGGGCAUGGAUGAUAUUUUUUAUGAGGAAAACAAGCCAGGUGCUUUAUUUGUUUGUCUGAUAUGUAUAAGUACAUGUUUAUUAUAUUUUUACCACUAAUGAUUUUGAUGACUUGAGCAAAGAGUUUGCGUCAUUGGUACUUCAGCAACAAAGUUACAAAUGAUGAGUCUUACAGUAGUGUAGGAACAACUUUGAGGUACAAGCUGUACACAUAGGUCUGCCAAAACAGUAUCACUGUUGCAUGUAUGCGUUGAUUACCACAUGAUAGUUACCUUGCUCUAAUGCUAGCUGGUGUUCUAGAGCUAUACAUCUAUAGGCACUCUAACUUAUUUAUAUAAUUUCCGUCUGCUUAUAAUCUAUAUUAUGUUUGGCUUGCUACUCUGAUCUGGAGUGAUGUUUGUUUGUUCGUUUCUAGGCAAACAGAUAGAUGACAGUCUAUCAAGUAUCUUACUAUUCAUACAUUGUGACUAAUAUUUUAACUUUUUUUGGCUGAAAUUCUCAGAGGUGUAGCAUGCAAAUCUUAAUAAAAUGGAUUGGUAUUUCAGAGUUGAUCUGUGAAUUAGAUUGUUACUUGGGUCAAUUGAUGGUUUCUAGCUCAUAACUGUAGCUAGAGUGACUAUACCCGCAUGCAAUGUCGGAAGCAGAUGGGUCUCCCAACAAGGGAUUAAAUGCAAAAUCAAUAAAUGCUCAAAUAAAUAAUGUCAGAAGCACACUUAGUUGGUAAUUUGUUGAUGAGCUGUGGGAUCACACAAAGUGUGAUAGAGGUGUACGCAGAGUCACAGACAUGGGUCAGCCUAUGGAGUUCUUGUGUCACAUAUCUGUUCUAAAAUAGUAAUUUGAGCUAAAUUCUGUUUUAUCAAUUUUGACUUCCGAGAAUUCUGAAGCCCGCAAUCAGUCUGUUACUUAAUUUGUAUAGUUGGCAUUUUUUAAUGGGGUUGUUGUUUGGUUUCUUUAAACAACUACUCUGAACUGAAGCAUGCAUUUCAAAAGAUUGUUACAGUAAUGAUUUUCUCACUACAAAUGUGCUAUCUCCUAGCUUUGCCACUUUGGAGACAUUUCAUGAAACCGGGCUGUAAUGACCUACUGAAAUCGGAGAGGUUUUCAGAAGACUUGCUGAUGCAUGAUGACAUUGCUAAUUGCUAUAGUAGUCACGCAGAUGCAGCUUGGUGUAUUUUUUUUCCUUCUUUCCCUUUAUAUCUUCUUCAUCCUUGUGCUUGGACAUUUGUAACUCAAGAGGUCACAAACUUCUGCAAUCUGGAGGUGUCAUGUUCAGACUGGUACAUAUGCAUGUAGCUUUUCAUGAAGCAUCAUUUUACUGAAGUGUCAAAUGUAUGUUCUCUUAUAAUCCAGGGGCCUGAUUCCAAAGCUGCGUAUGAGCUUAUUGACAUCGAUGGUGUGGUAAAUGUGACCAUAAGGAACUUGGAACAGGCGUACGUCUCUUAAUGGACAUCUUUCUGUUUUGCAUUGAACUUUGAUUUUAAUUGUUUUUGUGUACAUCUUCUAAAAUUCCAGGAUUGGCUUCUUACUCAUUACAAAUGAUUCCAGUCUUUAUUCUUAGUUUUUAUAGUUACAAAAAUAACAAUGUUCAAACUCACUGACCUGUGCUUUCUGACAUGUCUUAACUGUAUUGUUCAUUAUAUAUGCAUGUAGCGAUACUUCCUUUCAAUCUCUUCAUUAGUUAGUAACCUAGAUCAUGUGCCAAGUUUUACUUACUCGACACUCGCUACUCUUUUCCUUGUACAAUUGUUCAGUCCUGGUUAUAUUUUGUGGUCUUUCUGAGUUGCAUAAAUAACUUGAAAAAUCUGGAGCUACUAAACCUUACCUGUACUGAUUUUUUUUCUGUUUUUCUUUAUCAAAAUAUGGUUCUCCUUCAAAGUAUUUUUUUGUUCUACUGAAUGUGCUUCUAAAAAAGGAUCUCAACAGAUCAUCUGGAAGGAGAAGAGAAUAGCCAAAGAGAUGUUAAGAACACCAAUAUGCUUUUGAUGAUUGAAUUAGAUAAAACAAGUAUAUACUUCUAAAGGUUAAUGGAUUCUAAUAGUAUGAUUUUGACAUGCAAAUAAGUUUUCCAUAUGUCUGACUAUAUUGUGUUGCCGUGCAAAUAUAUAGAUGAAUGAUCUCACUUUUGGGGACUUGGUUUUGUGAAUCGAUGUGUUAUCUUGAGCAAAUAUCUAACUAUUUGUACAAUGUUACAAUAUGUACUUUUACUAUUGAUAUAUCAUACUGUAUGUAGAAUCUUUCAAUACAUAUAUACUUGCGACAACUACUAACCGAAAUUCAUUUUUCACCUACAAAAAUAUAUAGAAUCUUCCUCCAGGUUUUCAUGUUGAUACCUGAUUUACAUGUCCAUACUGUUGGGCUGUUCGAGCUAACACUGCAAGGCCUUACAGUGCCUCAGGGGCAUCUAAUAGUUUGCCCCUAGAACUAUUAUAUUCAGACAAUAUACUUGCUUGUGUAACCAUCAGAGCUGAAUCUUCUAGGUAAUUUUACAUAAUCACCGGCUGGGUGCCCACAAUCAUCCCUGAUUUGUAUUGAAGUGAGAUAAGGUUUACUCAUGUUCUUAUAUUUUAUAUCUCUUUUCUGUUCUGCUUGGUUGAUUUUCUCCUUCAUGUUGUUCAUUUGAUUAAAAGAAUCGGGAGAAGGGAAGGAAAGAGAGAGAAGCAUAAUCUUGGGAGUAAGAGAGAUGCUGACAGGUAGUUCCCAUCUUUUAUUCAUUUCAUCUUGCGUUUGGAUAUGAAGCGGUGGCAUAGUUGCCAUGAUAGUCAUUUUUCUGCCAUCAAUUGGAAGAUGUGAAGAGUGGUACAAGGUAUGUCUUGUUAUAUAGAAGAGUUAGAGCUGGAUGGAGUAUCAAACAAUGUAAUCGAAUAAUGCAUGGAAUUGUAAGCCAAUCAUAUAAGCAUAGACAUAUUUCCAGUUUUCCGAUGUAUAGUGGAAGUUACUUAAAUCAUUUGAAAUAUUAAUAUAAAGAAUCUUUUUAUUGA